UGCACGGGAGGCAGCAGUGAGGAAUAUUGGUCAAUGGACGAGAGUCUGAACCAGCCAAGUAGCGUGAAGGAUGACUGCCCUAUGGGUUGUAAACUUCUUUUAUACGGGAAUAAAGUUAGCCACGUGUGGUUUUUUGCAUGUACCGUAUGAAUAAGGAUCGGCUAACUCCGUGCCAGCAGCCGCGGUAAU
rnacentral:rRNA from 1 species